CCAGACCACUCCCUUACUCGGAUCGUCCGGCACGUUCCUGCCGGUGAAGGAGAAGAUUC
rfam:Streptomyces sp. Ncost-T10-10d genome assembly, contig: Ga0115254_1116